ensembl:lncRNA
CAUCACUAUGGAACAGUCUAAAUCAGCACCUGCAUGUAUGAGGUUGUGGUUUUCAGCCAGGGAGUGGAGGAUAGAACAAACUCGGCCUGGAGUGAGUAUCCGCCCAAAUGGACGCAGUUCAAGUGCAAACUUCCUCUUAAGACCGAAGUUGAGGCUGCCAGACAGUUUUCAGAUACACUCCUCGUUAGUAUAGUGGACAGUAUCUCUGCUUGUCACGCAGAAGACCAGGGUUCGAUUCCCUGACGGGGAGCUUCUUUUCAAAAGGCAACUACAAACUUUUCACUCUCCUUGGCUUCUCCUGUCCUAUGCAACACAACUCAUGCUGAUUAACACUAUUUUACUACUGAAACUACAGGUCCUGAACAGACUGUUGCUAAAAGCAUGAGUCCAGAUUGUCACACUUCUGUCACUUAGCAAAAGUGUUACAAUGUUGUCAAAGAAGUGCUGAAUCAAACGAAUGCAUGCAGGAGGACAUCUCUCAGAUGAUGCCAAUCGGUUGGCUUCAUCAGUGGCCUUAUGCGCAGCCUGGAAGAGCUGUCUUUUUAUUGACCAGUUGCAAGAAGAGCCACCGCUGCAGAGAAGGCAGGACAAAUGGACAGUGUUUCCGCCCAGUUUCAAACUGAGGACCUUUCCUAUGUUAGGCGAUCGUGAUACCACGGCGACACUAAAGAAACCUCGGCUCAAUCCACUACUGGUAUUGCCCUUUUGUCUUUGCAGAAGUACUUUGGAGAAGGUCUUGAACUAACAGAUUCAUCAGGCAUUGACCAUCAUCACUAUGGAACAGUCUAAAUCAGCACCUGCAUGUAGGAGGUUGUGGUUU